rnacentral:rRNA from 1 species
UACGAAGGGUGCAAACGUUGCUCGGAAUUAUUGGGCGUAAAGCGCGUGUAGGCGGCUUUGCAAGUCGGGUGUGAAAGCCCUCAGCUUAACUGAGGAAGUGCGCCCGAAACUGCAUUGCUUGAGUACCGGAGAGGAUGGCGGAAUUCCCCAAGUAGAGGUGAAAUUCGUAGAUAUGGGGAGGAACACCGGUGGCGAAGGCGGCCAUCUGGACGGAUACUGACGCUGAGACGCGAAAGCGUGGGUAGCAAACAGG